rnacentral:rRNA from 1 species
AGUGAACGCUGGCGGUAGGCCUAACACAUGCAAGUCGAACGGCAGCACAGUAAGAGCUUGCUCUUACGGGUGGCGAGUGGCGGACGGGUGAGGAAUACAUCGGAAUCUACUUUUUCGCGGGGGAUAACGUAGGGAAACUUACACUAAUACCGCAUACGACCUACGGGUGAAAGCAGGGGAUCUUCGGACCUUGCGCGAUUGAAUGAGCCGAUGUCGGAUUAGCUAGUUGGCGGGGUAAAGGCCCACCAAGGCGACGAUCCGUAGCUGGUCUGAGAGGAUGAUCAGCCACACUGGAACUGAGACACGGUCCAGACUCCUACGGGAGGCAGCAGUGGGGAAUAUUGGACAAUGGGCGCAAGCCUGAUCCAGCCAUACCGCGUGGGUGAAGAAGGCCUUCGGGUUGUAAAGCCCUUUUGUUGGGAAAGAAAAGCAGCAGGUUAAUACCCCGCUGUUCUGACGGUACCCAAAGAAUAAGCACCGGCUAACUUCGUG